CAGCAUUCAUUUUUGGUAGGGUCAUUUAAAAUUCAGUGCCUCACAAAAGCGCUGUGCAGUGGGAGAAAAUAGCUCCUGCUUUAAGGUCCUGAUUCAGCAAAUUGCACGUGAGACUUCUGCGUGUGUUCUGCGUGGUCCCAGGUACUGCGUAUGCAGCCUGGCUGGCUGGCACAGUGCUGGAAAACGCCCGAGGUGCACCUGCAACUGUGGGGAUCCCCGCUGCAAAUUCCAGCCCCCUUUGGAGCCAGGAAUUGGUCAAACCCAAGAUAUCAGAGUCCAAACCUGACUGGUUCUCUGUCUCCUGAAAAUACCUUCCACCCCAUUGUCGUGUCUCGGCAUUUGGAGCCCUAUUUCUGAAUAUAAAGUAGGGAUUUUGUGAAGCUCAACAGCACUUCUAGUGCCAGCGCGGUGCAUAGUGUCUCACCGCUGCGUUACAAAGAGGUCACAACAGGCACCAGCACUCAGCUGUGAGUGUGAGUUGGGAAUAAAGGGAUGGUUGUUACUCCCAAGAGAUGUCGGUGAGCACAGAUACAGCCACGGGUGUGGUGCCAGAUUGUCACGGUGGGACCAUCGUGCCCGAGCAUGAUUAUUUCCCCCAGGGCCUCGCAGAGGACCUUUCCAAGGGUCCUGGCAACUGCCAGCUCCUUGCAGCUCCUGCCGUUGUGGCAAGAAGAAAACCAUUCCUAGUGCUGAAAGCUCAGCGCAGCCGCUCUAAAGUACCGAGAGACAACUGGAAAAACUCCCCAGUAAAGGUAAUUAUGUGAUUCCUGCUUAUCUAGAGGCUGAAUUUGUCCCGGUAAGUCCAGGGACAGAGCGGUGGUUUCUGCAUUGUCCAGUACCACCCCUCAGGUCUCACUCCCUGCCCAAGGUAUUUCAUCUCCACACGGACAUUUCUAGGUGGGUGACCUGCCAGAGCAACUCAGUCUGCAAACCAUCAGCAUCCUGGUGUUUGCGGGAAAACCUUGUUUUUCUGUCUCUGCUUUACUCCUAUGAUUAAAAGUGACAGCAACUCUCCUUCCACUAAUUCAAUAAGCAAAGGGAAGACCUUGGGGCUGAGCGAAGUGGAGGACAGAAGCAGUAGCAAGAAGACCAGAUAGAGCAGGAAGAACAAGGGCAUGGGCCAUAGACACUGAAUGUGGGGAGCUUAGAGGUGCUUGUGCUGGAAGGAGCACUUUGCAGAGGACGGGAGAGAUGCAGUGAAUUGAGAAAGCCACCACCACAUGGUGGGCUUGCGUCUGAUCCACACAGUGCCUGGAGACAGACAAGCUAACAAAGCAUAUCUCAACACACUCUUCUUCCAGGUUCUCCCAGGGUCCAGCCAGUAUCUUUGUUCCUAUACGAGGUAUGUUUUUUGUUCAGCUCUGGUUGUUUUCCUGGAUCUGUAGUGCAUUAAAUAGCCCAUCUUCUGGUUUGUAUUUUUUCCAGUUAUCGUAUUUCAUGUA